GGCUCCAUAGAGUAGUGGUUAGCACGUCUGUUUUACAUGCAGAAGGUCCUGGGCAUCAUGCCCCAGAUGGAGCCA
rnacentral:tRNA from 1 species